rnacentral:rRNA from 1 species
UAACAAGGAUUCCCCUAGUAACUGCGAGUGAAGCGGGAUGAGCUCAAAUUUAAAAUCUGGCGUCUUCGGCGUCCGAGUUGUAAUUUAGAGAAGCGUUUUCCGCGCCGGACCGUGUACAAGUCUCCUGGAACGGAGCGUCAUAGAGGGUGAGAAUCCCGUCUUUGACACGGACCCCCGGUGCUCUGUGAUACGCUCUCGAAGAGUCGAGUUGUUUGGGAAUGCAGCUCAAAAUGGGUGGUGAACUCCAUCUAAAGCUAAAUAUUGGCGAGAGACCGAUAGCGAACAAGUACCGUGAGGGAAAGAUGAAAAGCACUUUGGAAAGAGAGUGAAACAGUACGUGAAAUUGUUGAAAGGGAAACGCUUGAAGUCAGUCGCGUCUGUCAGGGUUCAGCCUCACGGUGUACUCUCUGGUAGACGGGCCAGCAUCACUUUCGAUCGUCGGACAAGGGAGUUGGGAAUGUGGCACCUUCGGGUGUGUUAUAGCCCUUCUUCGUAUACGGCGACCGGGAGUGAGGACCGCCUUUGUAGGAUGCUGGCGU